UACAGAGGUCUCAAGCGUUGUUCGGAUUCAUUGGGCGUAAAGGGUGCGUAGGCGGCGCGGUAAGUCGGAUGUGAAAUCUCGGAGCUUAACUUCGAAACUGCAUUCGAUACUGCCGUGCUUGAGGACUGGAGAGGAGACUGGAAUUUACGGUGUAGCGGUGAAAUGCGUAGUAUAUCGUAAGGAAGACCAGUGGCGAAGGCGGGUCUCUGGACAGUUCCUGACGCUGAGGCACGAAGGUCAGGGGAGCAAACGGG
rnacentral:rRNA from 1 species